UAACUGGAUUUAUUUAAAUCCAAAAAAACAUAAGUAUAAAUAUUG
rnacentral:ncRNA from 1 species